GUGAGUCGUCCGUGGUGUCUGCUAGGGAUUUUCGUUUCGCAGCUCUAUGCCACAAUAUUUCCCGCGUUUUGGCGCGUCCAGUAGUUGAUUGUUUACUGCUGACGCACGCCCUGACAGCGCUUAUUACUUAAUAUACCAGUCUGCUAUUUGGGCUUUUGACGGUGCUGCUACUGUUGCCGUGCCGUUGACAGUUGAUUGCGAUGUGAUCGAAGAUGAAGAUUGUAUACCAGAAUGAAUCGAUACCAACCAGCCGGUAAAGAUGACCCUCCCAAGUGGCCCUCCCGGCUUAACUCCCGGAAGGAAAGAAUUAAAGGUGGCACAAAAAAAAGUCAAAGCCUUCCUGUUAUAAAAACGCCUCUCGAAGAGCUCCGUCUAGUUUACAAACACUCUGUUGCAGCCUCACUAGCACAUGACAGCGCAAGUUCGUUGUCUGAUGACGAAGCCUUUGAGCUGGCACCCAGAUGUGUUUCAGAAAAGAACUGCCUUUCUGACUCUCAAACUCCAUCGUUGACGCCUAGGGUGAAAUCGGUUCGUCUUUCUAAUCUUGUCAACUGUCGAUCGUCCACCAGCUUGAAUCGACCUCUGAGUUUUGCUGCAGAGCAACUGCUAGGUCAGACCAGUUGCGUGGGUACAGGCAGCCUCAAGUCCCUCAGUGAUGUAACCAAUGGUAGUUAUGCCAAGAAAGCUCAUCAACUGUCUCUCUGCAAAAACGGAGCCCCCAUCAGGUUCAACACGCUGUGUUACCGAGGAGAUACCUGGUCGGAAACAUCAGUGGCAAGGGGUCACUGCUUGGUGAAGAAGAACUAAACCGUUACUUCUCAGACAGAAAGGUCAAUGUAUUUGUGGCUACGUGGAACAUGAAUGGAUUGAUGUGACUGCAAGAUUUGACCAUGUAUUUUGGUGUGGCGAUCUGAAUUUUCGACUCAUGAAUGAUCGUUCGGUCGUCGGUUUACUGAAGGAUGACCAUGAAAAUAAACAACUUGCAUAUGAGAACCUCCUGAAAUUUGAUCGGCCGAGAAGUGCUGUGCUGCAUGGUCAGGCAUCUUUGGCUUUCAAGAAGGAAAGAUAAAAUUUGGACUGACCCACAAAUUCGAAGUUGGCUCAAGUCAGUUUGAUGGUGUGAAGCAUAGAGUGCCAUCGUACACGGAUCGAAUACUUUAUAGAAGCAAAAGAAAAGGCCAUAUAGAGUGUAUUCUCUAUGACUCAAUUCUAAUAAUGCAAACCUCUGAUCAUCAACCAUCGUAUGGGCUGCAUAAAGUGGGGAUUCGACCUGGAAGAGACAACACACGACUGUCGGCAGGCUUGUUCAAAAGACACACCUAUUUAGAAGGUAUGGGCUUAAUCCUAUUUUUUUCUAGUGUUUUAUGAACCGGCUUGUCAUCAUAUGAGAGCAUUAGCAAUUGUAAUGGAGAAAUGUUUCCUGAAGUCAAGGAUAUCUCAUUGUGGAGCCUAUGUAUUGUUUCCUUGUUUGCAGUUUAAUGCUUCAUUACAUACUUGCAUAUCAGUUAGUUUGCUUUCUGCCUGACCAAAACUUAUACAAUCAACUUGUGCAAUAGACAGAAGUUGAUGAUACUCUAGGUUGACACUGGUGAUAUGGCAAGAGAUUGUUAGAAAAAAGCAUUAAGUUUGCCAUGUCCAAAUUGACGGAAGGCAGGCGACUGGACAGGUUUUGAACAGGGUUAUCUGGUAAAGCUGUUAGCUUUUUGAAUUCUGUGUCGUCCUGUGGCCCCACAUGUAAUAUGCAGUGUGGGGAUCUUUCAUUCAUCUCUGAGCACCAGAUCUGUUACCUGUUGUCAUUCAUUGUAUUAUAUUAAGUUCUAUGGUCUUACUGAGAAUUAAAGCAAAGAAAUUGCAUUUAAAUACAAUUUAUUGCAUCAGAUUAAUGGCUCGCCAUGCACCUGAUGGUAAAUGUAAUGCUUUACUGGGUGUUGUCUUUCAUUUACCUGCAUAUUGUAUUGAAACAGGGAGCAAAAACAAAAAAAAAAGGCCACAGCUCAGGGGUAUAUAACUGGAACAUCAAAUGACAUUUUCAAUGCCAUUUGAUGUCUAUCUCAGUCAGAUCAGAUUUAUAUACUUGCAUUAAUCAUUAAAAUGUACCAUAUUUAAAAAUUUUAUAUCUCUCUUCAUUCGUGCUCAAUGAUAAAAUGGAGUUGUACUCAUGUGGUGCUUCUCAGGAAACAGCAUCACUUGUACGUUAAGUAACCAGUUUGAGCCUUAAUUUUUUUUAUAAUUUGUAGGUUUUAAAAUUUAUUUGCCAUAGAAAAUGAACAAGAAGAAAUAUAUGAAUAUUUAUUGUUAGAUAAAUCUAACUCUGCAGACUACUUUGAAAUGUAGUUUGUGUGGUUGCAUGUUAUUCAAUGAAGUGGUCAUAAAAGUCUGUAUUAUUUUGCAUGCAGCUGUACACAGGCAAGCUGCUGCUCUUGAAAUUUGACUGAGCCUUAAAGCCAGUCAAGUGUGUGCUGUAAUGAGGAAGGUUUUGACGUUCACCACUACCUAUGUUUGUUUUUCUUUUCUCAUUGCAUGUAGUGUACACAAGUGUUGUGUUGUUUUGUCAAAUUUUGUGUAGAUGUUAGGCUGUCAACUCACGCUUGGAAAAAGUGGUGUAAAAAUACCCUGUGGUGUACUGGUGGACCUUUCAAGCUAAAUAUAGUAUUCCAUGUCAUUUUGUAGUCUCCCAUACUAAUGCGCAUCAUUUUUUGGUAUAGUCCUCACUAGUGCCUACAUCGUUGUCGUAAUUUGCCAUAAGUCCUCCUUUUUUCUUCUCUUACAGUAAAAGCACAGCAUGAUGCUGUGAUGUAAGCUUUUGCUGUUGCAGUCUUCAAAUGCUUAUCCUGUGAUGUGCACAUAAAAGAAAUGUGAUUGUGAAAACUUAAUAAAGGUGGACUACAUUAACUGUAUAUGUAUAUGUAGUGUGAUGUAGUACCUUGAAUUGUUGCAAAAAAAUAUUAGAAACAACAGUAUGAUUCAGUAUUGAGGGGAGAUAUGAGUUGAAAUACACAUUUUUUUUCUUCAAAAUACAUAUUUUAUUGUUUUUAUUUGCUUUCACAAGUACAGUUUCUCUACAAUCAUGACAGAGAAACUUAAGACUGUAAUUAAACUUGAAGCAAGUUAAAAGUGCUUUUAAAGAGCACAAGUUGGCUACUGAAAAACUAAAAAGAGCUUAUUGUUUAGAGACUCCUGGAAAUUGUCACCUGGCUACUUGCCGUGGCAUUUUGCACGAGGGGUUCACUAAAACCAAACGCUCAAAAUACCUUUGAUUGCCAAACUUUCGUGAUAGAAAAUAUCAUCUCAAACAAACAUAUCUGUUCCGCAUAGAUGAGCUUUCACUUAUACCUUUAAGAUGCGUUUUUUUUUUCAAGAUCCAUUUUCGAGCAACUUCUUGAGUUUGGACAUCAUGUUUUUGGUACUUCUGAUACCUCAAUAAGGUUGAAAUUUUUCCCACAUAUUCCUUAGUAUGU